CGCACCUUGCGCUCCUUGGUAUUCCGAGGAGCAUGCCUGUUUGAGUGUCAUGGUACUCUCAACCUCUGUUGCUUUUUUGCAGCUUUGGUUGGAUGUGGAGGCUUGCUGGCACAUUCGUGUGUCUGCUCCUCUGAAAUGCAUUAGUUUGGACUGUCUCCGAGCAUGCUUCAGCGUGAUAAUUGUCUGCGCUGCUGUGUCUUGGUACAAAAAUGUCUCUGCUUACAACCGUCCCUCAGUGGACAACCUAUGAACUUCUGACCUCAAAUCAGGUAGGACUACCCGCUGAACUUAA
rnacentral:misc_RNA from 1 species